CAAAAAGUACCAUUUUCCUACUUUCACUUAUACUUCAAAAAAUAUUCUUAGCUUUCUUACUUACUUGAACAUGAGAGAGUCUUUUGUAGUUGGAUUUUUCCCUAUAGUCGUUGACUUGUCAUAAAAGACUACUUUCAAGAUCUUUCCAUGUGUCUUGCAGAUACAAAAUCUAAACCCGAUAAGAAUAUUUGACUCCCAUCAUGGGUCCUAGUAAAGUUAUCCCUGGUCUCACUCACAAUCAAGUCGAUCCUCCCAUACCAUACACCAGGAUGGAUCCCAACCUAAUGAAUGUGAAAUGUAUGAAAACACUAGAAAGAGGAGGGAAGGGGCAGGGAGGUGUUGAAUAAUGUUUUAAACUCUUUCGCAAAUCAAUGCUUAAUAGUUAUUACAAAGGUUGGACACAAAGUUGACUUCUAGAUAAACUUCAUUUCCUUUUUUAGGUAGUUAGUCAAACUCAGGUCUACGUUGUAGAGUGACAAUGCUUUAUUCGUGAUUUCUUUCAUAAGUAGCCCAUACGGUCUUUUAGAGCCAAAAGCUUUGAGGAAACAUUCUAGGAAUGUCUUCCUAUCUCUUAACGUCUUUUUGAUCUUUAUGUAGAGCUUCUGAAUAAAGUUUGAUGUUGUCAUUACCUGCAUAGACAAAGAAAACAAAGCAUACAAGCACAAGAGCACUUUUUCUUAUACAUUGGAUGUUUUAAACAUUGACGAUCUUUAAGCACAUUACAUGUUUAAAACACAUUUGCACAUGUCAACAUUUUUUGAUAAAAGUAUCAUUAGAAGGCAAAGCAUUUAAUGUAUUAGAUUUAGAAAAUAUAAUCUUUAAACACGUG
rnacentral:lncRNA from 1 species